UACAGGGGGUGCAAACGUUGCUCGGAAUUAUUGGGCGUAAAGCGCGCGUAGGCGGCUACUUAAGUCGGAUGUGAAAGCCCCUGGCUCAACUGGGGAAGUGCACCCGAAACUGAGUGGCUUGAGUGCGAAAGAGGGUCGCGGAAUUCCCGGUGUAGAGGUGAAAUUCGUAGAUAUCGGGAGGAACACCGGUGGCGAAGGCGGCGACCUGGGUCGACACUGACGCUGAGGAGCGAAAGCGUGGGGAGCGAACAGG
rnacentral:rRNA from 1 species